GAUGAACGCUAGCUACAGGCUUAACACAUGCAAGUCGAGGGACCGGCGCACGGGUGAGUAACGCGUAUCCAACCUGCCCAUAAGUAGGGUAUAACCAGCCGAAAUGCAGACCAAUCUCCUAUGCUUAUGGAUGGGGAUGCGUCCGAUUAGCUUGUUGGUGAGGUAACGGCUCACCAAGGCUUCGAUCGGUCGGGGUUCUGAGAGGAAGGCCCCCCACAAAGGAACUGAGACCCGGUCCUAACUGCUACGGAGGGCAGCAGUGAGGAAUAUUGGUCAAUGGGCGCGAGCCUGAACCAGCCAAGUAGCGUGCAGAAGGAUGGCCUAUGGGUGUUAAACUGCUUUUAUGCGGGGAUAGGUACCGCAUGAAUAAGGACCGGCUAAUUCCGUGCCAGCAGCCGCGGUAAUAC
rnacentral:rRNA from 1 species